CCCUUCUCGUGGAUGGAUUGAAGUCUUAUCUUUCUCCUUCCAGUGUUCAGUUUUCAGCACUUUCAGAGAGGCAUCUUGUUGACCAUGAGGAUUCACCCCAGUGUGGACCCUGCUUUCUGUGUAGGUGCACCAACGCCCUCUGCUGGCCAGACUGCAGCAGAUAUUAACUGAAAGAUUUGAGACUCCUCAUGAUUACCCUCACUUCUGACACCAACACAAGUUCAAGGAGUCGCUCAGUAUUCAGAAAAAUCAUUAUAUUCCAUGAUGGAUUAUUUCAGGAAAAGAAACAGAA